rnacentral:rRNA from 1 species
GACGAACGCUGGCGGCGUGCUUAACACAUGCAAGUCGAACGGUAAGGCCCUUCGGGGUACACGAGUGGCGAACGGGUGCGUAACACGUGGGUGAUCUGCCCUGCACUUCGGGAUAAGCCUGGGAAACUGGGUCUAAUACCGGAUAGGACUCCGGACUGCAUGGUCUGGGGGGGAAAGCCUUUGCGGUGUGGGAUGGGCCCGCGGCCUAUCAGCUUGUUGGUGGGGUGAUGGCCUACCAAGGCGACGACGGGUAGCCGGCCUGAGAGGGUGACCGGCCACACUGGGACUGAGAUACGGCCCAGACUCCUACGGGAGGCAGCAGUGGGGAAUAUUGCACAAUGGGCGCAAGCCUGAUGCAGCGACGCCGCGUGAGGGAUGACGGCCUUCGGGUUGUAAACCUCUUUCAGCAUCGACGAAGCGAAAGUGACGGUAGGUGCAGAAGAAGGACCGGCCAACUACGUGCCAGCCGCCGCCGUAA